GUGUGUGGACGUUUGGUGAGGGAAGAGGCUGACCUCGCAGCGGAUACUUCACCUGGACAGAAGCAAUGGCCACUGCAGAACAAACAAAUCAAGAGGAACAAACCAAGAGACAGGAAGGCUUUGAAUAUAUGAACAGUCGGUGUAGCAUGCUGAGACUCUGUAUGUUGGGACAUUUGAUCCUGCACAUUUAUUGCCAUAUUUCUGUCUGUCAACAAUACACAUGUACAGAUUUUGGUAUUUGUCUGGCCACUUCUCUGUACCAAAUGGAGGCUUUGAAUGAUCAAUAAAGCAGCUAUUUUU